CCUACGGGGGGCAGCAGUGGGGAAUAUUGCACAAUGGGGGAAACCCUGAUGCAGCAACGCCGCGUGAGUGAAGGAGUAUUUCGGUAUGUAAAGCUCUAUCAGCAGGGAAGAAGAUGACGGUACCUGUGUAAGAAGCCCCGGCUAACUACGUGCCAGCAGCCGCGGUAAUACGUAGGGGGCAAGCGUUAUCCGGAUUUACUGGGUGUAAAGGGAGCGCAGACGGUGAGACAAGUCUGAAGUGAAAGCCCGGGGCUCAACCCCGGGACGGCAUUGGAAACUGCCUGACUGGAGUGAUGGAGAGGGAAGCGGAAUUCCUGGUGUAGCGGUGAAAUGCGUAGAUAUUAGGAAGAACACCAGUGGCGAAGGCGGGUUGCUGGACAGUAACUGACGUUGAGGCUCGAAAGCGUGGGGAGCAAACAGGAUUAGAUACCCGAGUAGUC
rnacentral:rRNA from 1 species